rnacentral:lncRNA from 1 species
UAUGUAUGUGUGUGUGUGUGUGUGUGUGUGGCUGGGUCAGUAUAAUAUAUAGCAGAAAUUAGCACAACACUGUAAAUCAACUAUACUUUAAUUUUUCAAAAAGUAAUUGAAAUGAUUCUCAAAAAAAAAAAAAACAGGAACAGACUCAUAGACAUAGAGAGCAGACACAGAGAACAGUGGUUUACCUGAGUCCUUUUAAAUUUUCUAGUAACCACAUUUAAAAAAAAAUUAUUAUCUCAUAUAUGCUCAAAAUAUUUUCAUUCCAAAAUGUAAUCAAUAUAAAAAUUCUUAACAUCGUCUACAUUCCUUUUACCAUUCUGAGGCUUUAAGUCCAGUAUGUAUUAUUUACUGGCAGCCCAGCUUAGUCUGACUAGUCACAUUUUAAAUGUUCAGUAGCCACACAUGGUGCAUGGCUACUGUAUGGGACAGUGCAGACCUAAAACAUGUAUAGACAAGUUAUUGAGAGACGUCAAAUAUGAAAAAAAAAAACUACUGCUGCUUAUUCUUCUAUAAAUGAUUAACAUAAUAGGGGAAGGGAGGAGAAAUUGAAUAUCUCAAUCUCCCAACAUUCUAUGUAUAGCAUCUCCUGUCUCCUCAAACAACCCAUGGAGGUAAAUGUCAUCAUAUUACAUUUACUGAAGUUGGAAUUAAACUCCGAAAAGAGUGGGUAAUUUGCCCAAACCACACGGAAGUAGUUCUACAUCCAGUACAUGAAUCUAGGAUAAUGUGCCUCCAAAUCCUGUGCUUUAUUAAAAUCUUCAAAUUUUCAAUGAGAGAGAAAAAAAACCUCAAACAGCCUAAUCAGAGGCGAUGUGAGCUUGGCAUCAACUAAAAUAUCUUUAUUCUCAUUUAUGUUUAAUGAGAGCACUAAAGCUUGAAACAUGCAGUGAUCUGAGCCAAGCCCCCCUAGGAGAUUACUUCAGAUUCACAACUCUUUAAAAUAUUCAUUGAAAUAGGAUUCCUUGGGCCAUUUUUUUCCCUCAACUAAUUAAAGUCUUAGAAAUGAGGUUUCUUUAUUUGUAAAAUAAGACUAUUCUCUGCCCUAACUUUAUAAAUUUUUUUUAAUGAGGAUCAAAAAAAGGAAGAUGGAAAAACAUUUAAUUUCAGCAGGUUGUCAGUUUGUUUUGUUUUGUUUCAUUACCAGGAGUUGUUUUGGCCUGAAUGUGUGUUCCUGGAUCAGAUAAUUAUUUGUUCAUAAGCUUUGAGAAUCUCAGUCCAGGGAAUCAUUCUGUGACUCAACAGUGGAGUGAAGGGGGGGGCAACUCUGAGAAGUCAAUAUCUUAUUUUGACCUUGGAGAUGCAGGCAGAAAGCUCUGAUAGUGAAGGAUAUUCCAGGAGGAAAUCCUGCAGCUAAUGAAACCUCUCUUCUCCUCAGGGCUCAUCGACAAACUGGUGGAGUCAUCGGCACUUCCAACAUCAUGUAAAACAAACAUCCACCCCAAGUACCCAGACAUUGAUUUGGGCCCACUUUUUGUUCUGGAGAGUCACAACCUGUCAAGGUAUGUUUAGAAAUCCUGGGCACUGGAGAAGUGUUCCUGGAAGUGGUUCUUGGUAGGGUCUACAGUCUUGUCUCAGGGAAAUCAAGCUGGAGGUUUCAGCUUCAAGCAUGUUUUCAGAGCAACUCUUCUUUUAAGUCCAGGAUAUAGAUUUGAAAUAAAUGAAUCUGGGACUAGAAAAAUAGAAGAACAUGCGGAGUGCAUACUCCAUGACCUUAGUGGUCAUCCAGUCCAAUCCCCUUUAGCAAGAAGUGAUAACUCAUCUCACUCUCUGCUGAUAACAGAUCCCUGCCUGGUACACAUCCCUCCCUCUGAGGCAACACAAGAUAGUGUUAGAGAGUGAAUCUAGAAGGCUGAGGUUGGCAAUACAUCUCCAGAGUUUAACAAGAAUAUGGAGACAUUCACUCAGAGAAGACACGUCAGUUCAUUCAACAAGUACUCAAUCACAAACAUCUACAUAGCUAUUUAUGUCAAUGAAUUCUGGCUCUGCUAGAAGAAACUAAGCUGUUAUUUUUUAAUUCAGGUUCAUGUUGGCUCAUUUACACAUGAACCACAGUCCAAAUGCUUCAUAAGUCACUUAAUAGAUUGCAUCUCCUAACCCAGACUUCUUAAAUGGAAAAAGGAAGAAUGUCUCAGUGUUGAUGUUCUUGAAACCUCAACUUCAAAUCAUCAUGCAAGAUUAUUACCACGUGUUUUAGAAGGGAGUCUUUUUUCACCAUCAGAGGUAUAAGAGUAAGGACAGAAAGGUAUCUCUCCUCAAGGGAAAAGAUGGAUCUGGAGAGUCAGAUGCUUUGGAAGAGGCUUUUCCCUCCUCCUAGAAGAAUCUAGAGUUUUAUAAAAACAAAAGAGUGUAACUUUGUCUGCUGCUGUCAGACUUUUCCCAGCUUUGGAAGAUUUACCUCCUUCCAAUUAGGAAACAACGUCUCCUGCCUACAUUUAAAAAAGCAAAACAAACAAAAUCCUUUACUGAAUUUUGUUUGUUUGUUUGUUUUACUUUUUAGGGCCUAACCUGUAGCAUAUGGAAGCUCCCAGGCUAGGGGUCCAAUCUGAGCCUCAGCUGCUGGCCACAGAUAUGGGCUGUGUCUGCAACCUACACCACAGUUCAUGGCAAUGCCAGAUCCUUAACCCACUGAGUAAUGCUGGGGAUCAAACUCACAUCCUCAUGGAUGCUAGUCGGGUGAGUAACCCACGAAGCCACAACAGAAAAUCCUGUAUUCUUGAAUCAGUUGCUUUUGACAUUGGCUCCACAAGCAAGGUAGACUUCUCCAAUGUUUGUGGACUCCUAUGCUCAUCACUAGACGUGUGACAUUUUGAUUUCUGUAAUCAUCCCCCAAAACUAGGGAAUUUGUCUCACUGAAGUUCAUGGAACAGCCCACCCCUCUACACAAGUGCCUUCUUUUGAGCCACAUCCAAUACACAAGCCGCCUCAUCACUGAUGAUGGAGGUCACCUCUCCAUGUCUUACAGCCACUCUUAUGAGACAUCCCUGGAACCUUAGGUUUCUGUAUAUGAUAGUUUCAAAGCUACCAUACAAGACAUUACUUAAAAUUAUUGAAACUCUGAGUCAGUUGUUUCACAUAAAAAAUUGUAUUGAUGAGUCCUAAACAUUUCCUUUCUUCCCAUUUUACUGUCAAUCUUUCUACUGCUUUCUUCAAACAUUUACUUCUUCAACAGGCAUUAAUGAAAGCUUCCAUAAGCUAGGUCCUGGGCUCAUAUUCUGGAAAAUUUAGAAUUCUCCUUGGAGUGACAUUCAAAGUCAAUCCUUCACCCAACUCCCCUAAAUUUCCCACCUACUCCCUCUUUCAUGUUUCCUACUACUUAAAUAUCCAAACAUUUGGAAGUAACUGCAAAUAACUAUUAUGACUUUAUCACCAUGACAUUUCUUCCGAUUUAUGACAGUAAGAGAAGGGAAGAUAAAGCCUAUUCUCCAAAUAAGAGAAGAAAUCUCUACGUAGAAGGGAAGGUACCAAAAGAACAGAGAAAAAGCAAAAAUCAAACCCUUCCCCUCUGGUUGUAACUGAGUGAACAUAUGGGAAAACCAUAGAGGAAAUGUGAAUUACCAUUCAUCAUUUAAUUCUUCAAUUAAACAUUUAUGAAGUGUCUGCUAGGUACUGGAGAUAAUCUAACCAUUGCUUCUAUGCCUCCUCUCAGGAUAUUUGCUGCCUUUGUGCACUGGCAUAGACUAAGUCAACUAAGGGGGCCCAUAGAAAAAUGAAUCAAAUGCCCAGUGGUAAGAUUAUAUACAUUAUCAUCAUGACUUGAAAAUAGUCCAUCAAAGCAUGAGAUCCAUGAUGGUAACACAAAGAAGGAAAGAUGAAGCAGAUACUAGGGCCUGUAUCUUUUAUCACAUGACCAUUCAAUAAAUACCUGUUGAAUAAAUGAAGGGAGAUGGAGACUGAGCAUCAAGAAGAAUUCUGAGCACUUCAGCAGAAGAAUAACUAGAAAAACUUACGAGAAAUGUUUCUUUUCAAUCACCACCCCUGUUCAUAUGAUGACAAAAAUUUCCAAAUGGCUUUCAUAGGAAUAACAGUAGUAAAAAAGAUCACAAAGUCAAAUGGAAUAAACCAUUCAUGCAAGAAUUUCCACAUUUCAAUAAAGAAAAAAUAUGCCACAAUAUUUCCUUUCAAUCCAGUUCUGGUUCUUCUAGUGCCUCAAAUUUGAUAGCAAUAAACUCUAACCAGAUGACUUUUUCCACAGAGAUUUUAUACACCACACACACACACACACACACACACACACACACACACACCCACACACAGAUAACCUUGAAUAUAAUGACCAGUAAUAAAUAUUGUCUCUUAUUUCAGUUUUAUUCUCUCUCCAUUCAGUACAUCAAGAAGAAAAUCAAAUUCAUCAGUCAUGAGAAACAGCACCUGUACUUCGACUUUGGUGAGUCCCCUCAGAGCCACAUUCCUUAUCAUCCAUUUCCUUGAGGCAAAUGUUUGUCAAGCCAGAAACCAUGACUAGAAUCCUCUCACAGAGAGACCAACCCCUGUCUUACUACGGCUAAGAAAGUAGCAUGUCUUAUUUCAGACUUGCUGGGAUGAAAAUCCAAAAAGGAAAACGGAAAAACUAAAAACAUUCUUAACGGCAUCUCAUCACUCUGGGUACCAGGCAGGGAAGGAGACGCUCUAAGAAGGAUGGGAGGCAGGAUGGAAUCAAGGGGUCUGGCACCUGGGACUGUCAUUUUGCAAAAACUUAACAUCUAUCAGGAAGAAGUGGAUAGGAGUUCCCACUGUGGCUCAGCAGGCUAAGAACCCAACUAGUAUCAAUGAGAUGAGGGUUAAAUCCCUGCCUCACUCAGUGAGUUAAGGAUCCAGCAUUGCCACAAGUUGUGCUAUAGGUCACAGAUGCAGCUUGGAUCUGGCAUUGCUGUGGCUGGAGUGUAGGCAGCUGCAGCUCCAAUUUGACCCCUGGCCUGGGAACUUCCAUAUGCCGCA